UACAGAGGGGGCAAGCGUUAUUCGGAAUUAUUGGGCGUAAAGAGCUCGUAGGCGGUCUGUCGCGUCUGCUGUGAAAACUCAGGGCUUAACCCUGGGCCUGCAGUGGGUACGGGCAGACUAGAGUGCGGUAGGGGAGACUGGAAUUCCUGGUGUAGCGGUGAAAUGCGCAGAUAUCAGGAGGAACACCAGUGGCGAAGGCAGCUCUCUGGGACGUGACUGACGCUGAGACGCGAAAGCGUGGGGAGCAAACAGG
rnacentral:rRNA from 1 species